UUCUUAUAGAACUAACAUUGUAUUGUCCUUUAAGAUGGUAAGAUAAAUUGACACCUAUAGAGCAUGACACGACUCAUCGAAUUCCCUUUACAUGUAAAGGAUUGUAAUUGCUUACAAGUCACUAACAUAUAUCUGGUCCUAACUCUAGACACAUCAUCAUCAGUUUGAUCUUUGUGUUAAGGAUUUUUAUUUGAUCAUAUCAUUCUUUUGGCGGACUAAGUUUGCAAUAUUGUGCAAAUAUUUCAACGGGCCCACCUGGUCUCUUUUACUAAAUCUUUGGGGCAGGAGGUUGAUAUUUAUUUGAAUUGUGUAGAAUAUUUACAUUGGUAACCUAUUGGAAUUAUUGUAUGUUCGUUAUACUAUGACGACAACAUAUAUAGUUUGGUUUACUGUGGUUCAUGUUCAGGUGUACAAUAAUGAAUUUACUAUAUCAAGGUACUUUAUCAACCCAAAAUAAAAAAUUCCAAACAUUUCAACAUUUUUCAUGAACAAACCUUUAGAACCUAUUCGCGACUAUCCUCCUAGAUCAUGGACAACCAGCAUAUUUCAUUUGUAGGAUUUUGACAAGGUCUUGAUUGUUUCCCACAUAAAAUGUUCUAGAUUGUUUCAUGGCAACUUGUUUGUGCCCGACUAUUUUCAAACUUCUUAUCUAGGCCAUACUUAUGUUUUUCUGUCAUUAAUCUAUUAACUGCUGAAUGAGGUGGUCCCAAAUGAUAAAGAAAACUAUGUUAGGAGUAUGGGCAUCUCUUUCAAUAAAACCAGAGGAUUUUAUGAUUAUGAUUUGGUUCGAAAUAUGUUAAUGAUAUGUGCACUCGAUCUGGGCCCUUAUCCGAUGAAUUGAAAAGUGUUAAAUGGCCCAUGCAUAAAUCUAUAUUUGUUCACAAGUAUCAGAAAUCUGGAAUGGUGACACUACAUAUUCAAUUCAAAUUUGAAAAUACAUCUGAUCCCAGCUAUAAAGGUCGCCAUGUGUCUCAAAGGAGUCUCCAUGGCAACUCUGGCCGUCUGCAAUUACACUAGAUGGCAUGCUAGUCUGCCAUCCAUCGUGGGGAUCCGCCGACAGGACAGGUCAGAGUUCCCGCGGUUGCAACUAGCAGGUUAUUCAUCCAAUCUCUGUUCGUCAGUUAGUGCUCGAUCCUAGAGUAAAUGGUACUUGUAUGGAUAUAUAGUUGCAGAGAGGAAUUUCUUUGCCUAGUGUUUGAUCGGAUUGCUAGCUGGAUUGGUGGAGAAAUCACUACUUCUUCGUGGUAGGGUAGCAGUGGACAAUUAGUACAGACAUACCUGGCAAAAAAUUCUGGUGUGUUGAGAAGUAUAUUAAGUGGAGAUAGUACUAGAUCUGAUGGCUGCCGGAGAUAGUAGUAGAUGUAAUACUACACACUGGCACAGUAUGAGGUCAUUAUAUUGUUCUGUACAAAGUCUGUCACUGAGAUGUACAUAUAUGAGUUACAGCCGUAUAUAUAUUUCUUGCAAAAUCCAUGCUUCCUUGCAGGUGCCCCCGAGACAGAGCCUAUUCCCUAUUUGGUACGGAGAGGUUAUCGUCAGAGGUUGUGGAACAAUCUGAAGGACACUUGUGGUUAAGCAGCAACAGCAGCAGAUAUCUGUAUCAGUGCUGAUGGUAUCCCAGCAGUGCUGGUUACUGGGGAAGUGUAUGCGGCAUGUCGAAUCAUUCUUCCGCAGGAGGCCCCUAAAGCUUCAACUUGUUGAGAAACUGUCUGCACUCCGCAGUUUGGAACCUUGCGGCAUGAUGCUGUGAAUUUCUUGGAUAGUGGGCUUCCCUGAUGGCUGCUCUGCUAGUGCUAGCUCAGGGAAUGGCCUCUACAACUGAACUGUACUGCAGUCGGUCUUGACCGAGAAUUGUUGGGGCCUAUGGUGUAGGGCGACUGCUUGGCGUCGAGUUGAGCUGCAACGCUGAAUCAAACCCUGGCCGACACAGACAAUCAGAUCUGGAUUUGGUUUGCUGCUCGUCCUUUGGGUUCGUGCCCAUGAUGGGCAAGGUUCACCAGCAGUUUACUAUCAUCCAUGGCGCUUUAACCCUGUGGUGUUCUACUUAUCUGAACAACUUCUUGUUUUUGAAAUGUCAACCGGGGUGUGUGUGUGUGUGUGUGUGUGUGUGUGUCACAAAAAGAGGAAGUCCUCAGUUUGUGAUCAUACAGCAGAGGUGAAUAGAGGGGCAGAGGGCCACACAGUUUUUUUUUAGAAA